UGAUGUCAAAGUGACCCACACUCAGAAAUGGAAGAAAACUUUGAUCGAUUUAAAUCGACACCUUUUUUGUUUUCUGGCAAUUUACACUUUACGUAGUUUAAUAAGUAUACUUAAUUCGCCUAAAAAGUUAUACUGUGUCAAAAUAAUGCGAGAUUAUUCAAUCCAGUGUAUUUAAUCACGCCAAAAGAAACAUGUUUGUUUUUGUUACGUGCCAAAACCAGUUAUUUCCACUAGCAAAAACCUGCAAAUAUUAAUUAUCUGCAGCGAUUUCCCGACAGCAUGCUGAAUACCUUUUUGGCCGGGUUUUGGCUAGCUUUGAAAGCGAAUUUUCAAGAAGUGGUGUGACCUUCGAUGUGCUGAAACAAGAAGAACCUAAGGAGUUAGCCGUGUGGUGCAAAGGUUUACUGUGCUGGAUGCGAGGCUGGAUGUCCAUAAAAAUGUACUACCGCGGGCACUGUGUGAUCGGACAACGCCACCAUAAUUCUUGAAAGAUCCCAAGUUACCGAAUGCCGCCAUCGCCGGGAACAGAUUCAGUCAGAAAUGAUGCUCGCCAGGAAACGGAGAGGUCCUAA